GAGCGUUCUGUAAGCCUGUGAAGGUGUACUGUGAGGUAUGCUGGAGGUAUCAGAAGUGCGAAUGCUGACAUAAGUAACGAUAAAGCGGGUGAAAAGCCCGCUCGCCGGAAGACCAAGGGUUCCUGUCCAACGUUAAUCGGGGCAGGGUGAGUCGACCCCUAAGGCGAGGCCGAAAGGCGUAGUCGAUGGGAAACAGGUUAAUAUUCCUGUACUUGGUGUUACUGCGAAGGGGGGACGGAGAAGGCUAUGUUGGCCGGGCGACGGUUGUCCCGGUUUAAGCGUGUAGGCUGGUUUUCCAGGCAAAUCCGGAAAAUCAAGGCUGAGGCGUGAUGACGAGGCACUACGGUGCUGAAGCAACAAAUGCCCUGCUUCCAGGAAAAGCCUCUAAGCAUCAGGUAACAUCAAAUCGUACCCCAAACCGACACAGGUGGUCAGGUAGAGAAUACCAAGGCGCUUGAGAGAACUCGGGUGAAGGAACUAGGCAAAAUGGUGCCGUAACUUCGGGAGAAGGCACGC
rnacentral:rRNA from 1 species